CCCUAAAAAUAGAAAAGGGUGAGAGGAGUGGGGGAGGCUCUGCUAGGGUUUUUACGCGCAGCCUCCCUCCACGGACGUCGACGGCGCGGUGGACACUACCAUGGCAUCGUCAUGGCUAAGGUGGACGGCCGGCUAUGGAGAGGGAAUGAGGAGAUAGCUAAAAGGGGAAACGAAGAAAGGUAGGAGUGGUGGCCGCCACCGGAAAUCGUUUCUGAUGGUGGUGCGCGGUUCGUUUCGGUCGGGCAUAGUAAAGGUCCACGGAAAAGGCUAAAGGCCGACGAUGCCGCCACCGGAAAUCGCCUCCGACGGCAGUGCACGGCGACAUUCGCGGUGGCCGGAAAUCGCCUCCGGCAGCGGUGCAUAAUGGUGUUCACGGGAAGCACCGUUUUCCUGUUGGUCCAAGCUCAUGCUUUUGGAAGCAUAUAUGGCAGAAGCAUGCUCUUGGGGACAUGUCGGUGGCUAGGGCAGCAAGCUUGUUGGAGGAGAAAUAACCGUACAGAAAAGUGUAGGAUGGCAGAGAUUUUGGGUGUAGAGGAAAAGAUUAUUUUGUUAUUUUCUUGUCUUUUUCUAAUUUUCUUUUUUUAUUUUUUUAUUUUUUAUUAUGCUUAUUGUGUGUAUUUUUUUAGUUUAAAUCUAGUUUGUAAAUUUGUUCCUGAAUCAUUAAUUUGAAAAUUUUGGGAAAUAAA